rnacentral:rRNA from 1 species
CACGUAGGGCGCGAGCGUUGUCCGGAAUUAUUGGGCGUAAAGAGCUCGUAGGCGGCCUGUUGCGUCCGCUGUGAAAGCCCGGGGCUUAACCCCGGGUCUGCAGUGGAUACGGGCAGGCUAGAGGUAGGUAGGGGAGAAUGGAAUUCCCGGUGUAGCGGUGAAAUGCGCAGAUAUCGGGAGGAACACCGGUGGCGAAGGCGGUUCUCUGGGCCGUAACUGACGCUGAGGAGCGAAAGCGUGGGGAGCAAACGGG